rnacentral:rRNA from 1 species
GACGAACGCUGGCGGCGUGCUUAACACAUGCAAGUCGAACGGAAAGGCCCUGCUUUUGUGGGGUGCUCAAGUGGCGAACGGGUGAGUAACACGUGAGUAACCUGCCCUUGACUUUGGGAUAACUUCAGGAAACUGGGGCUAAUACCGGAUAGGAGCUCCUGCUGCAUGGUGGGGGUUGGAAAGUUUCGGCGGUUGGGGAUGGACUCGCGGCUUAUCAGCUUGUUGGUGGGGUAGUGGCUUACCAAGGCUUUGACGGGUAGCCGGCCUGAGAGGGUGACCGGCCACAUUGGGACUGAGAUACGGCCCAGACUCCUACGGGAGGCAGCAGUGGGGAAUAUUGCACAAUGGGCGGAAGCCUGAUGCAGCAACGCCGCGUGCGGGAUGACGGCCUUCGGGUUGUAAACCGCUUUCGCCUGUGACGAAGCGUGAGUGACGGUAAUGGGUAAAGAAGCACCGGCUAACUACGUGCCAGCAGCCGCGGUGAUACGUAGGGUGCGAGCGUUGUCCGGAUUUAUUGGGCGUAAAGGGCUCGUAGGUGGUUGAUCGCGUCGGAAGUGUAAUCUUGGGGCUUAACCCUGAGCGUGCUUUCGAUACGGGUUGACUUGAGGAAGGUAGGGGAGAAUGGAAUUCCUGGUGGAGCGGUGGAAUGCGCAGAUAUCAGGAGGAACACCAGUGGCGAAGGCGGUUCUCUGGGCCUUUCCUGACGCUGAGGAGCGAAAGCGUGGGGAGCGAACAGGCUUAGAUACCCUGGUAGUCCACGCUGUAAACGGUGGGUACUAGGUGUGGGGUCCAUUCCACGGGUUCCGUGCCGUAGCUAACGCUUUAAGUACCCCGCCUGGGGAGUACGGCCGCAAGGCUAAAACUCAAAGGAAUUGACGGGGCCCCGCACAAGCGGCGGAGCAUGCGGAUUAAUUCGAUGCAACGCGUAGAACCUUACCUGGGUUUGACAUGGAUCGGGAGCGCUCAGAGAUGGGUGUGCCUCUUUUGGGGUCGGUUCACAGGUGGUGCAUGGCUGUCGUCAGCUCGUGUCGUGAGAUGUUGGGUUAAGUCCCGCAACGAGCGCAACCCUUGUUCACUGUUGCCAGCACGUUAUGGUGGGGACUCAGUGGAGACCGCCGGGGUCAACUCGGAGGAAGGUGGGGAUGACGUCAAGUCAUCAUGCCCCUUAUGUCCAGGGCUUCACGCAUGCUACAAUGGCUGGUACAGAGAGUGGCGAGCCUGUGAGGGUGAGCGAAUCUCGGAAAGCCGGUCUCAGUUCGGAUUGGGGUCUGCAACUCGACCUCAUGAAGUCGGAGUCGCUAGUAAUCGCAGAUCAGCAACGCUGCGGUGAAUACGUUCCCGGGGCU